GUCAUCGCCUUGCGCCCGGGUGAGGCGGCGGCCUCGAGGAUUGUCCUGCUGUGCUCCGCAGUGCUCCAACGCCGCGGGGCGGCUCCGGGCGCCGCCUCAGCUUCUACAGGAGAGACGUUGUGGGUGAGACAGAGGGAACAUCAAAUGAGAAACUGGGAAGAGAUAUGAAGUAGCGGGACCAGUUUUUCUAAAUGGUUAUCAAGUUUCUCAACAGAAAGCUCAACUGAUCAAAGAGAAGGAAGGAAGCAAUUUGCUGGGCUCCCAGGACACCAACGCAGAGCUACCUUUCGAGCCGGCACUGUGUGACUGCAUGGAGACUGUCUGUGCCAGUGGGCCAGACCUAAAGAAGGAACUACCAGAUGAUGCUGAGGAUUCCUGCAUUCAUCGACAGAAGCAGUUUAGUGAGACAAAGGAACCGUAAGGCAGGAUAUGCAGUAACUGCUACUGAGCAGGUAAUCAGAGUACAACCGUUACCUGUAGGGACUUCCACUAAGAGGUCUAAAAUAGCCUUAAACGUAUGGACAGAUGCUAAAUAUGCAUUUGGGGUGGCACACACUUAUGGUACCAUCUGGAAAGAGCAAGGAGUGCUCACACACGGGGAAAACAAAUUGAGCACGGUGUAUAUCUACCAAAGAGCGUGGCUGUUAUACACUGUGAUGGACAUCAGAAAGGUGACACUGUCCAGGAAACUGGAAAUAUGAUAGGGAUCAGGUGGCAAAACAGGCAGUUGAAGGAAAAGAAAUAGCAGAACUGGCUUUAAUUCCAGAUGGUAAACUUCAAAUCUCUGAACCUGAGUCAGCCUGUGGAGCAUUUUAGAGGGGACGGGAAUCUAAUUAAUGAUUUAGAAGGGAAGAGAGCUAGCUGACAGAUGGGUGCGUACCCAGAUGGACACGCUGUUGUGCCCUUUAGUACUUUAUGGAAGUUGGUUCUAAGGGAACAUAUUGAAACAUACUGAGGGGACAAACAGUAGAAAGUAAUUGCGCAAUCUAGUACCAGGAACAGGGUACAAGUGGGGCCUAUUAGGAAAGGGAACCUUCCAGGGCAACAAUGGCAAAUUGUUUUUUGUUUGGAACUACCAGGAAAAAAGGAGGGUUUUGUUAUAUGCUAGUUGAAACCAAUACCUUUCCAGGGUGGCCAGAAGCAUUCCCUCUGCAAAGCCAAAGAAGUAGCUGAGGUAUUGUUGCAGGAGAUUAUUCCAAGGUUUGGGGUUAGUGCAACAAUAUCCUCCAACCAGGGAGCUCCCUUGAUUGUAAAGAUUGUCCAACAGGGCAGAAAUAGCUUUGGGAAACAGAGAAACUGGUUCUAGGAACAAGAGCCCAAGGCCUUGACAGCUUGAUAAAUCAUAUUUUACAAAGAGAU